rfam:Thermophagus xiamenensis strain DSM 19012 genome assembly, contig: Ga0131197_117
GGGCCCAUAGCUCAGUUGGUUAGAGCACCUGACUCAUAAUCAGGGAGUCGCAGGUUCAAGCCCUGCUGGGCCCA